ensembl:lncRNA
AUAAUUGCAAUUUUAUUUCAGAUUAAUUUAUUUCCUUUAUACUCUUAUAUACUUUAUUUUAUGAAUUUAAAAUAAUUAUUCUAAAGAAUCCACAGGUUUUGUCAGACUGCCAAGGGAAUGGCACAAAAAAAGCUCAAAAAGUCCUUGUCCUGAGUCUGAAGCCUGGAGCCUAGAGAAGCCUUGACCUUGAAGAAGAUACAUUCCAGUCUAGCUGCCUGAGAGCAAGGAGAUAUGGGAGAAUCCCACAGGCCCUUACAGUAUCACUCUCUUCCCACUCUAGUAAGUCACUUAAUCAAUAAACAUGUGUGGUUGUUGUUCAUUCGUUUCAGUUUUGCCUGCCUCUUCAUGAUGCCAUACUGGAAUGGUUUGCCAUAUCCUUCUGAAGAAACAAAUAUAUAUGAACUAAGCCCUGGAGAUACAAAGAAAGGUAAUAUGUGAAGAAUGGAAUUCACAGUGAGAAGCCAUGAAAGCAAGAGAACAGUGACAAUGGCCAAAGGUCAUUUGGAAUCUUGAGGCAAGGGCAGUUGGGAAACCCUAAUGGACAAGAAGGAGAGUCUGGUCUUGACUUCUGAUUGAUCAGGAGCUUCCAGAGAGGAUUUCUGGAAGACUGGAUAUUCCCAUUGGACAUGUUUCCCAAUAUCUCAGAGAAAUCAUCAGCCCUGAACCAUCUUGGUUCUGAACUGAGGGAAUCUGUGUGAAAGUGAUCAACAGCCAGUUAUCUCAAAGCAGUUACCCUGAGAAGAGCUUCAUUUAUUAAACCAUCAUUCAAUCUUAAAGCAAAGCAACCAGAUCUAUUAUUAAGAGGACAAAGGAGGACUAGUGGUGAAGGGUUAUUCAGAAGGAGAGCUCUCAUAGGCCCAGGUAAAGCUAAAUCCUGGGCCAGCCAUCAUUGCUCUCUCUCUCUGGCAGAGGUUUGACCAGAAGGGACACCGAGGAGGGUUAGGUAAAACCAAAUUCCCUACCCAACUGUCAAUUUUUCACUCCUGUGGUGUUUCCUAUCCUGGUACAGACUUCUGUACUCCCUCGUGCCUCCCCAUUCUACUCUCUGUCUAGAAGGGAGGGAUACCCCUGAAGGUCAGCUCACCAAACCAUUCUGACCAGCCAUUUAUUGUAUCCUCCCAGGGGUUUCUACCCUUUUUACAUAUGUUCCCUAUUCUAAUUUGCUUAUGAUAACAAUGUUGGUUUGUUCGAUAAAGUAUUUUACUAUCUUACUGAAGAAACCAAAGCUUCCAAUAUAAACUUCCUCAGCUUCCUUCCUCUGUGUCCAAAUCUUUCUCUCCUCAUAUUUCUUCUUCUUCCUUUUUAAGAUAAGGUUAGCUAACAGCUUAGCUUCUCCACCUGUAGCUUGGUCUCAUGCAAUCCUGCUUCAUUAGAGGACUAUCAUCCUUCAAUUAUUUCCCCUCUCACAUCUUCAGUCUCUAAAUCUCUACUGGCUUUUUCCCUCUGACAAUAUAUUGAGAUCUUCAUCACUCUAAAUAAAAAAACAAUAAAGCCUCUUCA